CAGUAGCCACGGUAAUACGUAGGUGGCAAGCGUUGUCCGGAAUUAUUGGGCGUAAAGGGCUCGCAGGCGGUUUCUUAAGUCUGAUGUGAAAGCCCCCGGCUCAACCGGGGAGGGUCAUUGGAAACUGGGAAACUUGAGUGCAGAAGAGGAGAGUGGAAUUCCACGUGUAGCGGUGAAAUGCGUAGAGAUGUGGGGGAACACCAGUGGCGAAGGCGACUCUCUGGUCUGUAACUGACGCUGAGGAGCGAAAGCGUGGGGAGCGAACAGGAUUAGAUACCCCUGUAGUCCCUGUCUCUUAUAC
rnacentral:rRNA from 1 species